rnacentral:rRNA from 1 species
AGGGCAAGUCUGGUGUCAGCCGCCGCGGUAAUACCAGCUCUCCGAGUGGUGUGGAUGUUUAUUGGGCCUAAAGCAUCCGUAGCUGGCUAAGUUAGUCCCCUGUUAAAUCCAACGAAUUAAUCGUUGGAUCGCGGGGGAUACUGCUUGGCUAGGGGACGAGAGAGGCAGGCGGUAUUUCCGGGGUGGGGGUGAAAUCCUAUAAUCCCGGGAAGACCACCAGUGGCGAAGGCUGUCUGCUAGAACGCGCCCGACGGUGAGGGAUGAAAGCUGGGGGAGCGAACCGGAUUAGAUACCCGGGUAGUCCCAGCUGUAAACGAUGCAGGCUAGGUGUUUGGACGGCCACGUGCCGUUCUAGUGCCGCAGGGAAGCUGUUAAGCCUGCCGCCUGGGGAGUACGAUCGCAAGAUUGAAACUUAAAGGAAUUGGCGGGGGAGCACCACAAGGGGUGAAGCUUGCGGUUUAAUUGGAUUCAACGCCGGA